rnacentral:rRNA from 1 species
CCUACGGGUGGCAGCAGUGGGGAAUAUUGCACAAUGGGGGAAACCCUGAUGCAGCGACGCCGCGUGAGUGAAGAAGUAAUUCGUUACGUAAAGCUCUAUCAGCAGGGAAGAAAUACUGACCUUACGGUCAGCAGACGGUACCUGAGUAAGAAGCCCCGGCUAACUCCGUGACAGCAGCCGCGGUAAUACGUAGGGGGCAAGCGUUAUCCGGAGUUAUUGGGUGUAAAGGGAGCGUAGACGGUGCGCCAAGGCUGGAGUGAAAUGCCGCAGCUUAACUGCGGAACUGCUGUGGAAACUGGCGGAGUAGAGUGCGGGAGGGGUAAGCGGAAUGCGGAGUGUAGCGGUGAAAUGCGUAGAUAUUAGGAGGAACACCGGUGGCGAAGGCGGCUUACUGGACCGUAACUGACGUUGAGGCUCGAAAGCGUGGGGAGCAAACAGGAUUAGAUACCCGAGUAGUC